rnacentral:tRNA from 1 species
GCGUUUGUAGCUCAACGGAUAGAGCAUCUGACUACGGAUCAGAAGGUUGGGGGUUCGAGUCCCUCCAAGCGCACGA